rnacentral:rRNA from 1 species
UACAGAGGUCCCAAGCGUUGUUCGGAUUCACUGGGCGUAAAGGGUGCGUAGGCGGCCGGGUAAGUCUGAUGUGAAAUCCCGCAGCUCAACUGCGGAACUGCAUCGGAUACUCUCCGGCUAGAGGAAUGGAGGGGAGACUGGAAUUCUCGGUGUAGCAGUGAAAUGCGUAGAUAUCGAGAGGAACACCGGUGGCGAAGGCGGGUCUCUGGACAGUUCCUGACGCUGAGGCACGAAGGUCAGGGGAGCAAACGGG